ACGGUCGGUUAGCGUCUGAUACCAGAGAAAAGCAUCAUCAGUCUCUGUGAAUAAAACGGAUAUUAUCUCAAAUAUAAUCUCGAUUACAGAUUGCAGAUAACGAGGAUAUGAAGUAAGUGUGUUUUCCUGAUUUUCUGAAACACUUAUUUGCACAAUUAUAUUUACAUUUUGCAUUGGCGCCAACCCAGUGUAGUUUAAAAUGGAGGAUUUGUUUUAUUUGCAUUAAUGUUGCUAAGUUAGGUGCGUAUAAAGUUGGUAACUUAUAUAUUAUCCUUAUAUAUUGGGAAAUCGAAAAUAGGCCUGUAAACUUAAUUUUACUUAGGAAGCAUAAACUCAUCGCCUUUUGCAUGAGCACUUGACUGGAUAGAUGGAAAGAGUAGCGUUAACGUUAUGGUGAGAAACGUUUGUUUUUUUCGGAGUGACACAUUAGUCUUUCAAUAUAAGUCGUAUCUAAAACUAGUUAGAGUGUAAUCUAAAUAACUUAUUGUUAAUAAAGUGGGCUUUGUAUGUGAGCACAUUUUAAUUUUAAUUUUGCACUGGAUUUAUUGGCACAAAUCUCUAUAUCACAGAGGAAACGUUACUUCAUUCACUUACAUUCUAACUUGUUCCUCAGCCUCAAAUACAGUUUUGUGUGUGUGUGAGAGAGAACGAGAGUGUGUGUGUGUGUGUGUGUGUGUGUGAGAGAGAGAGAGAGAGUGUGUGUGUGUGUGUGUGUGAGAGAGAGAGAGAGAGUUAGAGAGAGAGGAAGAGGAGAGAGCAGUAGACAGAAUAUUUUUAAGUGUUUUUAAUGAAAAGUUGGAGGAUGUCCCUGGAUGAGAACAAAGAUAUGGUACACCUGCUUGUCAAGAUUCUAACGUUAAUGUCCCACUUCCAGGAACACGAAGAUGGACUGGUUUCACAUGCAGAUGUUGCAGCAUCUGCAUCUGAUGUUGAGAAGACACUCAAUCUACCUGCCAAUCCUCAUCUGAUUUUGCUGGGUUAGUGUGUCAUUGCACAUGAUGAAGAAGAAACAUUUACUGAUGGCUGAGAUAUAAAAUUGUUAACAUUGCUGUUGUGCACAAUUGUUAAAAUUGCUUCUUCUUUUUUUCUUUUUUUUUUUUGUGAGUGUCCAGUCAACAUUUUUGACUGCAGUUGCAAGUGUUUGCUGUGCACUACAUCUUCAAUCUGCAGUAUCAAGAGGAGGCCUGUUGCAUGUUAGAGUUUUUUCAAAGAUGAUUCUAUGGAAUAAACCCAGAAAGAGGCUCAAAGACCUGCCGAGGCAAGGUAGUCUCCAAGAAGACGGGGAAGGUGGUGAAUAAGAAGUCCACUACAGUCAAUCCAAAGGUUGCCACUCUACAAAAAAAUCGAAUGGACUUCAAAUGGGACUUCAUC